UUUCGAUGUUACUUUCUGCACCUACCAUGGUGAUCACGGGUAUCCUGAGAAACGAUUACCACAUCCAAGGAAGGCAGCAGGCGUGCAAAUUACCCACUCCUGAUGCGGGGAGAUAGUGACAA